UUCAUUUAUACUUUCAAUUUUAACUAAUAUAGGAUUAGUCUAUGUUAAUAUUAGUAUAUUGUUAUCGUAUAUUGUUUCGUUUGAAUCGAAAAUAGUAUUUUUGAAACACAAAGGCACAUUUUUAUGCAUAAAGCCAAGAGAGGCACUUGUCUGAUACAGAGGUGUACGAGUAUGGGAAGCGAGUGUGGAAUGGAAUGGCUGUGUCGAUCUGCUGUAAUAAUUUUGUUUAAUGGUCGUAGCUUUUCACUCUGCACAGGCGCAGUUCGCUGCAGUCCAGCGAUGGAAAUAUGAUAAAUUGCGGCUCUUACAGGCGGCUGCAGUAUACCAGUAGCCAGGCAGCCCAGUAGCCUGGCAGCCCAGUAGCUUGGCAGCAGACGGGCAACAUUUGCCGGCACAUAAAUUCAAAAAGAGCCGCUAUUGCUGCUAACCAAAUCUUAAUUAUAAAUCUAAGGAAGCACUUGGAAAAAAUUACCGCAAGCGCAGUGCGGUGUGCUGCGACCGAAGUUGCAGAGGAAGACAAAAAAAUGGGAGAAAAAAGAGAAAAAUAGAGAGAAGCGAGUACAAAAUGAAAUGAUGAUUUAAUAGAAUGGUCUGCGGGCACCGCCAGCUGGUUGGCUGAGCCGAAUGAAUGGGCAAGACGAGCCAGCGGAAAUGACUCCAUAAGCUGCUGCAACCAUAAACCGGAAGUUAACAGACUUUUGCUGAUGUGGCAGUUUUCGUGCUGCUGCCUCCGCUGGGCAAGGGGCAAGGGGCAAGGGGCAAGGGGCAAGAGGGAAGUGGCAGUACGGGACACGGGCGAAGGACACCCGGCCAGGGACACAGGCACCGACACGGACACGGCGGGCAGUCUGCGAAAUUGUGACAGCGCAUGGCCGCAGGAUAAUCAAAUAAUUUUUUUUCUAUUUUUUUUAUUUUUGCUCAUCGUCUUGCCGCCUCUCUCACAAUUGCAGGCAUCUUUUUUGUGGCUUCAUUCUGAAGGCUCCCGCUGUGUGGCACUGGCUGGCUGGCUGGCCGGCUGGCUCGUUAAAUUAUUGUGCAACAUUGCCACAAAAUGCUAAUUGCCGCACGAUACGAUCAAGGCACCGCACAGGCAUACAGUCAUGGUGCCCCUCGGCCCGUUGUUCAGGAGAAAACUUUUUCAAAUUGCAGCUGUCAAUGAAUUUUGCUUUGCUAUUGACAGUUUCAUUUUCUACUUCUGCAGACGCCCGACUCUCUGUCCGCCUUAUCGCAAUGUGUCAAGCUAUGCUACAUUUUACUUGCACUUGCCCAAUAAAUCACACGAAUUCGUGACGACCCAAAGAUUUA